GUUUUUGUUUUUGAAUAGCUACGGUGGUUUUUCGGUUCAUUAGUCCUGGUUAAAGUCCUGGCAGAAACU
rnacentral:tRNA from 1 species